GUUUACAACAUCUCAAUUCUAUAUAUAGCUAUAUGCCUGGGACUUACUAACACCAAAUAAAGUUAAAUGAUUGUUUCAGGAGGAAGAAAUACCUUUUUAUGUCUCUAACAAUUCACAUUUUAAACAAUUCAUUUCACUAAUACUAAUUCUAGCCUUAUUUGAAUCAACAAAAAUGCAGUAUGGGAAAGUAAACAUACUCACCUUGCCAUGUGUAAGUAAUUACUAGCAUGAGCAUCUGGGGAGAUAGAUUCUCCACACUCUGACUGCCACUGACCUGCUGCUUCUGACUUCCUUGAUAAAAUCAGAUUACAAAGAAAGUGGAACACCUGGAAGAACUGGCGCUAUCUCCAUGGCAUCAGGCUUCAUGACAUCAGGUUCAACUCCUAAUCCUUAAGAGUAAAACAAGAGGGUAGAAUUCUUAAUGUGUUUUCUCAUAUCAAUUAAUGUUUUAUUUGGGAUGUUAACAGAGGCUUAUCAAUCCUAAUCCAUGCUUU
rnacentral:lncRNA from 1 species